GUCUUUGUGGAGUAAUGCAACUCACUCCCAUUUGCUAGGCGGUAGAAGGAAACAUGCAGCCACGGGAGAGUUGGUGGUUCGAUUCCACCUGAAGACA